rnacentral:rRNA from 1 species
UACGGAGGGUGCAAGCGUUAUCCGGAUUUACUGGGUUUAAAGGGUGUGUAGGCGGACUUUUAAGUCAGGGGUGAAAUCCCGAGGCUCAACCUCGGAACUGCCUUUGAUACUGGGUAUCUUGAGUAUGGAAGAGGUAAGUGGAAUUCCUGGUGUAGCGGUGAAAUGCGCAGAUAUCAGGAGGAACACCAAUUGCGAAGGCAGCUCGCUGGGACGUUACUGACGCUGGAGAACGCGAAAGCGUGGGGAGCAAACAGG